rnacentral:rRNA from 1 species
UAAGUAAGCGGAGGAAWAGRAACUAAAUAGGAUUCCSUCAGUAAUGGCGAAUGAACAGGGAUGAGCUCAGUAUGGAAAUUGGGGCCUGUGGCCUUGAAUUGUAGUCUGGAGAUGUACCACCAACUGGGGCGCAGAUGUAAGCCUCUUGGAAAAGAGCAUCAAUGAGGGUGAGAGUCCCGCUUGGCAUCUGCAGUCCCCAGUGCACGGUGUACCUUCUAAGAGUCACGUUCCUCGGGAUUGGAGCGCAAAUCGGGUGGUAAGUUUCAUCUAAAGCUAAAUAUAGUUUCGAGACCGAUAGCAAACAAGUACCAUGAGGGAAAGGUGAAAAGGACUUUGAAAAGAGAGUUAAAAGUGCCUGAAAUUGCUGAAAGGGAAGCGAAUGGAACCAGCGUAACUUGGCGAGAUUGCUGCGUGUCAAUGUGAUUGCUUGCUGCUUCAACGUAAGUGUUGUAGUAAGUCUUGAACAGGACAUGCGCGGUGCUUCUUGCCUUGUGUGUCACCGUCAGUUCGCAACUGGGGAAAACUUCAGGGACAUGGUAGCCUGUCUCCGGGUGGGUGAACGUGUUUGCUGGAACUCAUUUGCGGAUUGCUUGGUGACUAAAUGGUUCCAUCUGACCCG